GGAUAACCUGCCCUAUCGUCUGGAAUAACCUCGGGAAACUGAGAAUAAGGCCGGAUAGUUCACAAUGCCUGGAACGGUUUGUGGAUGAAGGUAGGAUGGGUCUGCGGCGUAUCAGGUUGUAGGGGGUGUAAAGGACCCCCUAGCCUUCGACGCGUACGGGUGUUGGGAGACAUAGCCCGGAGAUGGAUUCUGAGACACGAAUCCAGACCCUACGGGGUGCAGCAGGCGCGAAAACUUCACACUGCAGGAAACUGUGAUGAGGGAACUCCUAGUGCAUGCACUAUGUGUAUGUAGAUCCUACUCUUAACAAGUAGAGGGAAAGGGCUGGGAAAGACCGGUGCCAGCCGCCGCGGUAAUACCGGCAGCUCAAGUGGUCGUCGCUUUUAUUGGGCCUAAAACGUCCGUAGCCUGUUUGGUAAAUCUGUGGGUAAAUCAAUCCGCUCAACGGAUUGAAUUCCGCAGAGACUGCCAGACUAGGGACCGGGAGAGGUGUGGGGUACUCGAGGGGUAGGGGUAAAAUCCUGUCAUCCUUUGAGGACCACCAGUUGCGAAGGCGCCACACUGGGACGGAUCCGACGGUCAGGGACGAAGCCUAGGGGCACGAACCGGAUUAGAUACCCGGGUAGUCCUAGGUGUAAACGCUGUGAACUUGGUGUCGGGGGUCCGCAAGGGGUCCCCGGUGCCGGAGUGAAGAUGUUAAGUUCACUGCCUGGGGAGUACGGUCGCAAGGCUGAAACUU
rnacentral:rRNA from 1 species